CAAGCAACUUGGAAAGUCUAAUACAAUCUCAAGGAUCGGACUUCUGACAAAAGCUUUUGUUGCCAUUCUGAUCUCCUGGUUUCUUCUGGUCCAGCCUCAUGUCUUGUAUGUAAACUUCUGCCUGGAGGAUUUUGACCAGAAGAUGGAGAUGUCCAGCUACAUGGCCAGGGGAACAAGCGACAUGGCUUUAGCCGUGAAACACGGAACUGCAACUAGACGACCAGUUGUUCCAUCAACUGGACCGAC